GUAGGAGGCGAGCGUUAUCCGGAUUCACUGGGCGUAAAGCGCGUGCAGGUGGCUUGGUAAGUUAGGCGUGAAAUCUCCCGGCUCAACUGGGAGAGGUCGUCUAAUACUACCGGGCUAGAGAGCAGAAGAGGAAGAUGGAAUUCCCGGUGUAGUGGUGAAAUGCGUAGAUAUCGGGAGGAACACCAGUGGCGAAGGCGAUCUUCUGGUCUGUUUCUGACACUCAGACGCGACAGCUAGGGUAGUAAACGGGAUUAGAGACCCCGGUAAUCCUAGCCGUAAACGAUGUGAACUUGGCGUUGGUGGGUUAAACUCCAUCAGUGCCGCAGCAAACGCGAUAAGUUCACCGCCUGGGGACUACGGCCGCAAGGUUAAA
rnacentral:rRNA from 1 species